GACGAACGCUGGCGGCGUGCUUAACACAUGCAAGUCGAACGGAAAGGCCCUGCUUUUGUGGGGUGCUCGAGUGGCGAACGGGUGAGUAACACGUGAGUAACCUGCCCUUGACUUUGGGAUAACUUCAGGAAACUGGGGCUAAUACCGGAUAGGAGCUCCUGCUGCAUGGUGGGGGUUGGAAAGUUUCGGCGGUUGGGGAUGGACUCGCGGUGUAUCAGCUUGUUGGUGGGGUAGUGGCUUACCAAGGCUGUGACGGGUAGCCGGCCUGUGAGGGUGAACGGCCACCCGGGAAGGGAGCCACGGUCAAGACGCCUACGGGAGGCAGCAGUCGGGAAUGUGCCGCAGUGGGGGGGAGCCUGACGGAGGGGCGCCGCGUGAGUGAUGAAGGGCUUCGGGGCGUAAAACUCUGUUAGGGGGGAAGAACCACUGUGGCAGUAACUAUGCCGGGCUUGACGGUACCUAAUCAGAAAGCCCCGGCUAACUACGUG
rnacentral:rRNA from 1 species